rnacentral:lncRNA from 1 species
AACGUUAUAGGUCAUUUUGGGCCAUUACCAUUGAAUAAGCAAUUUUCCUCAACUUCUAAAAUGCAUAACUCCAUCAUGCCAAAUCCAAUUGAUGUAAAAUUUGUGACCAAAUUUAAGAGGAAUUAAAUAUUUACAACUUUGAUGAAGAAAACAUUUCCAUUUGGAGCUCAUAUCAAAAGUUAUUCAAGGUGGAAGAAGUGGUCAUUUGACUUUAUACUUAGAAAAUUUUCAACUAUGUUUG